UUGAAAGGAAAAAGGAAACAAUGCAGAUAUUAUCUAUCAGUUUUACCUCAGAAGUUACAGCAACCAAAGUUCCACAGAAACCGACAGCCGCACAAUUCUAACCGGAGCUUCCAAUGCUGGUCCUUACUCCUUGGUUUAGGAUCAGGUGUCAUUUGUUGGUGCACAAAGAAGCAGGGGUCUGUGGCUUAUGAAUCAACUGCUGAAGCAGAGUACGUUGUUGCCUCAGGUGCUGUUAAUCAAGCUUUAUGAUUGAGAAAAUUUUUGAGCGACUUGACGUUUCAGCCAGGUAAAACACCAGAAAUCCUUUGUGAUAACAAGUCUAUAGUUGCUAUGGUAGAAAAUUCGGUCUUUUAUGGAAAGACUAAACACAUUAAAAUCAAAUAUCAUUUCAUUAGAGAAGUUGAAAGGGAGAAUGAAGUUUAGAUUCUGCAUUGUUGUGGUGAAGAUCAACUUGUUGAUAUUUUUACAAAAGCAUUACAGAAACAGAGAUUUGAGCUUCUUAGAGCUAAGCUUGAAGUAACCAACAACACUUGCAUCAAGGAGGAGUGAUGAAGGGUACUUAUUUUGUGUGAUACUAACUGCUGUCAACUUGGCAUCUUGGUCUUGAUAUUUUGUUGUAAUCUUUAGAUUAUUUUGUUGUAAGUUCUAGAUUUUUUUAGAAGUUAGUUGUAGUGUAUGGUGGUGCUUUAUUUAAGCACAACAUAAGGAGAUAUGUUUUCAGAUUUUGAGGAAUAUUUUCAGACCACUUAUGUGUUACUCCUAUAUAUUUGAUGUAUGAAUGAAAAAUUACUGCACUA